rnacentral:rRNA from 1 species
CAACGGAAAGGCCCUGCUUUUGUGGGGUGCUCGAGUGGCGAACGGGUGAGUAACACGUGAGUAACCUGCCCUUGACUUUGGGAUAACUUCAGGAAACUGGGGCUAAUACCGGAUAGGAGCUCCUGCUGCAUGGUGGGGGUUGGAAAGUUUCGGCGGUUGGGGAUGGACUCGCGGCUUAUCAGCUUGUUGGUGGGGUAGUGGCUUACCAAGGCUUUGACGGGUAGCCGGCCUGAGAGGGUGACCGGCCACAUUGGGACUGAGAUACGGCCCAGACUCCUACGGGAGGCAGCAGUGGGGAAUAUUGCACAAUGGGCGGAAGCCUGAUGCAGCANCGCCGCGUGCGGNAUGACGGCCUUCGGGUUGUAAACCGCUUUCGCCUGUGACGAAGCGUGAGUGACGGUAAUGGGUAAAGAAGCACCGGCUAACUACGUGCCAGCAGCCGCGGUGAUACGUA